rnacentral:rRNA from 1 species
CAAGUCGAGGGGCAGCGGGAUUGAAGCUUGCUUCAAUUGCCGGCGACCGGCGCACGGGUGAGUAACGCGUAUCCAACCUUCCGUACACUCAGGGAUAGCCUUUCGAAAGAAAGAUUAAUACCUGAUGGUAUCUUAAGCACACAUGUAAUUAAGAUUAAAGAUUUAUCGGUGUACGAUGGGGAUGCGUUCCAUUAGGUAGUAGGCGGGGUAACGGCCCACCUAGCCGACGAUGGAUAGGGGUUCUGAGAGGAAGGUCCCCACAUUGGAACUGAGACACGGUCCAAACUCC